rnacentral:lncRNA from 1 species
UUCCACUAGCAGCCUUUGGAUGAAGACAUAGAACUCUCAGCUCCUCCUGCGUCAUGCCUGCCUGGAUACUGCCAUGCUCCCUCUUUGAUGAUAAUGGACUGAACCUCUGAACCUUGUGUACAGACCUAGCUCCUGGGUCUGGAACUUGGCAGAGGUACCUACUACCAAUUUUUGGAAGAACUGUGCUGGUUCCCCGGGCAGAAUCAAACCCAGAGCCAGAAGAAGAAUGCCCUUAGAGAAGGAAAAGUCUGCAUCUCGGGUGGCCCUUCUCCCUUAGGGUUCAGCAGGAUCCUGCCACCCACUGUGUAGACUUACUGGGACUGUGAGCCCUUCCAGUUGCAGGGAGGUCUUAGGGAAACAUAGGGGAUGGGCCUGGCACAAGGACAGUUGUACAUAGCAGCCUGAAGCAGUGCACACAUGAUAGUAUCUGCAGAACACCUAACCAAUGGGCACUGCCCAUUCUCCUGUGCUCUGCAUAUACAAUACUGAUCCAAUGGGCACUGCCCACUCUCCUGCACUCUGCACUAUACAAUGCUGAUCCAAUGGGUACUGCCCAUUCUCCUGUGCUCUGCACUGUACAACGCUGAACCAAUAGGUACUGCCUACUCUCCUGGGCUCUGUACUCUACAAUACUGAUCCAAUGGGCACUGCCCACUCUUCUACACUCUGCACUGUACAACACUGAACCAAUAGGUACUGCCCACUCUCCUGUGCUCUGCACUGUACAAAGUCAACAGCUUCACUCAUCCUU